AUGUGUCCAAUGGUGUUAAAUGGUCCUCCAUUUGGUCAACCAACAACUCCAGCACCUGUUGUGCAAUCUCAUGUGCAAGUGCCCACACAAGAUGAGUUCGAUGACAUAGACGAGCUCACACUUUUGAGUCUCGAGUUCACUUGGAGUGCCGAGGAUGAUCCUAUUAGGAAGGUUAUACUAGAUGAAAUGAAGAAGAUCAAGAGUGGAAAAGAGCUAGUGGAAGAAGUAAGGAAGAUUGAGAAGAACAUCAACGCUAGCAGCACUAUUUCUUCACAGCUAGAGCUGAGUGUUGCCGAGAUUCCCCUUGAUACAUGUGAGGUUCCAACACCGUCACAUCAAGUUGAGCAAGAUAGCAAGAGUCCAGAGGAAGAAAGACCCCAGAUUGAAGAAGAUGAACUAGAAGACAAGGAACAAGAUGAUCAAGAGCUACAAUUCCCAAGUGAUCAAGUUGAAGACUCAUCAUCUACUACUCCCGAAGAAGUACAAGAAGCUGCUGUAGAUGAAGAUGAAGAACAUGAGAUUCAUUUGCCUAUUGUCAUACCAGAGCGUGAUGUGUCAGGUUUACCCAAUCCUCUUGAUGACAUGAUGCCUUGUGAUUUCUUUGCUACUACCUUGCAUUACAUGAUACCAUCAAUUAAGCUAGACUUGAAAAAUUAUUUGCUUGGACAUGAUCAUACAUACAUUGUUGGUGGCAUUGCUCUCAUUCCUGAUGAUGACACUUAUUUUCCUUAUGCUAGUCCUAUGCUUAAUGAAACAUAUUAUUCCCAUGCUAGUCUUGAGCUUAAUGAUAAAUUUCAUCCUCAUGUUAGUGCCGACCUUGCUGAUUUCUACCAUCCUAAACAUGUGCUUUAUAGUUAUGCUUAUGUAAUUGGAUAUUCGAUUGAUGACUUGGAGGGUAUUAUCCCUACCACUUGCAUUGUCUCUUUUGUUGAAAGUGCUUUCAGGUUUUUGUUUGUGCAUGAUCCAUUACAUGCUGACCAGGUUCGAGGUGACAUUCCUUGGGACCCUGGUGGACUCAGAGCAUGGGGAUGA
rnacentral:rRNA from 1 species